rnacentral:lncRNA from 1 species
UUGUUUAAAUUCUUUUGAUUGCAGUAGAAAUCAAAUUUAUUUUGCUGGAGGGCGGCUCGCCUAGUAAAGCACAUUAAAUCACUCUGCUUCCAAGGGAAAGUGAAGCAGCUGAUAUACAUCCCAGCUGGAGAGUUUGCCUGCUCCAGCCAGAUCCUUACUUCAGAUUGCUUGAAAUAAAUUAGCAGGAGGCAAAAUGGACCAUAAACAGCUUACAGGAGGCUGAGGUACAGGAAAUGAUCUUCAACACAGAUGGCCUUCCUGCUCCAGGAUCUCCAAGGAAAAAUGAUGUUUCAGUAAUGGGAUCUUGAAGUACCCCCAGGAGCGGCAGGUGAUGAACGGGCAGACAGCCAGUCCUGACAAAGUAGUGGUAGGAGAUGGUGGUACCAGGGCUUCGGUAUGCUCUUUGGUUCACAGCUCCUUCCAGGUAGCCUGAACUGUUGAAUGCUACAGAGCUUCCAGAGGUGGCUUGAGCAUGACCAUCUUGAAAUGCAAGAGG